GGUUCCUUUUAAACCUAAUCUAUCCUUCCAUCAUCUGUCUUCAUCGUCCCAUCGCUCUCUCGUCUUCCAACCGUGACCACCAGCCAUCGUAGCCACCAACCGUGACAACCAUCCAUCUACUCUCCUACCCGGCCUCUAGAUCCUGUCUCCUACCAUCGAUCUCCACUGACCUUCAAGCAGCAAUCGGAUUUCGACCUCCACUUCUGCAGGAAAAAUGUACCGACUUAGUUUAACAACACGCAAUCGUAGACAACGACAAACGUCAUUGAUCUUGACAUGGUGGAACCUGGUUUUGCAUAUUGUUGUAGUCCUCUUGUUAAUGAUGUUUAAAGAACAUAGAGAUAGACCACGUCUUAAACAUUUUUCUUCAAAUGUAGAUUGAUACCCAAAACUACAUAGGUACGUUUAUGAGAGUGACACCAUGUUUAUAUCACAAAUUAGGAUGCCUCGAAGGUGUUUUACGAAGUUGUGUCAUAUGCUUGAAAUAUUUGGAGGCCUAAAACCAAGUAGGAAUAUGAAUAUUGAUGAACAAGUUGCCAUUUUUCUCUAUAUUCUUGCUCAUUGCUCACAAUGUUAAGAAUCGCGCCAUCAUAUAUCGCUUUCGUCGUCAGGGAGAAACCAUUAGUAGGCAUUUUGCUCGAGUUUGUAAUGCAGUCAUACGCUUGUAUACUCGUUUGCUUAAGAAACCGAACCCGUGCCUGAUAAUUUUACAGAUCAAAGAUGGAAAUGGUUUAAGAAUUGUUUAGGAGCUUUAGAUGGAACAUAUAUAAAAUGUCUAGUUCCAGUUGAAGAAAAGCCUAGAUAUAGAACAAGAAAGAAUGAUAUUUCAACAAACGUUCUAGGGGUUUGUUCCCAAGAUAUGCAAUUUAUAUACGUGUUAACGGGAUGGGAGGGGUCAGCGGCGGAUGGUAGAGUUCUUCGGGAUGCUCUUCUUAGACCUCAUUGAUUGAAAGUUCCAAGACCGGGUUAUUAUUUAGUUGAUGUCGGAUACACAAAUGGAGAGGGCUUUUAGCCCUUAUAGAGGUCAAAGGUAUCACUUAAAUGAAUGGCGUGAUGGACACCAACCGACUACAGCAAAGGAAUUCUUCAACAUGAAACAUUCUUCGGCAAGAAAUGUUAUCGAACGAUGUUUUAGCCUUUUGAAGGGAAGAUGGGGAAUAUUGAAGGACAAUUCGUAUUAUCCGAUCGAAACAAAAAAUAAGAUAAUAAUGGCAUGUUGUCACCUUCAUAAUUUCAUAAGACAAGAAAUGGAAGUAGAUCCAUUCGACGUCGAAUACGAGGGAACCAGAGAUCUUGGACAUGAAGAUGUGGAUAAUAUUAGUUCUAUCGGGACUUCGAACGAAUGGACCACGUUUAGAGAUAAUUUAACCGAAUCUAUGUUUGCAUCUAGG